rnacentral:rRNA from 1 species
AUGCACAUCAUUUUCGAAGCAAGUCUGAGUGGCACACUUGACGAGUUCGACUUCUCCGCCUUUCCCCAGCUGAAGUUUCUCUACCUGUCCGACACUGGUCUGUACGGAACAAUUCCAGCAGGGAUUGGCAACCUGACGAGUUUGGUCAGGUUAGUGAUUUCCAGCAACCCAUAUUUGAGGGGCGCCAUUCCACGCAGCAUUGGCCAGCUGAAGCACCUUGCUGUAUUGCGGCUAACCUUUUUGGGGCUCAGUGCCACGCUGCCUGAAGAGGUAGGUAAUUUGACGGCCUUGGAGGAUCUCAAUCUUAGUUUCGUUACUUUGACUGGACCAAUCCCACCAACAAUUGGGAUGCUUGGGAAGCUCCAGGAGCUGAGACUGGUAGGUAACAAUCUUACAGGGAGCAUACCAAUGGAGAUUGGAAACAUGACAGAGCUGCAGACCAUGUUCCUUCAGGGUAAUUAUUUGGAAGGGCAGCUGCCAGGUACCAUCUCUCAUCUGGUAAAACUCCAGUCUUUGGAUGUGUCUACAAAUCAGCUGGUAGGACACAUCUUCCCCGAGCUUGGGAAUAGCAGCUUCCUGAAAUUGGGCGGAAUAAGCGUAGCGUAUAACAACUUCUCUGGGAUGUUCCCAUCAUCCAUUUGUGUAGGAGGAGGGCUGGUUAUGAUCAGUGCUGAAUACAAUGGAUUUACUGGCUUUCAACAUCAGGCCUUUCAAAACUGCACAACCCUGCACUAUGUUGACUUCACGGCAAACAACAUUGUUGCAGAGCUAAGGGGCAUUUUUAGUGAGCAUCCAGGAGAGCUGACCAGCAUGGCUUUCAGUCAGAAUCAGCUGCAUGGCACGCUUCUGACAGGCUGUAUUCCGGAAGACAUUGGCAAUCUAGUACUACUGGAAUCCUUGGACCUUUCUGGGAACCAACUCUCGGGGAAAAUUCCUCAAAGCUUGGCAGCUUUGAAGAGCAUCAGUGUGCUGAACCUCUCAACCAACGAGUUAUCAGGGAGGAUACCUACGGGCGAUCAGCUGCGGACACUCACAGAUCCGUCCAUAUACAGUAAUAAUCCUGGGCUAUGCGGGGUUCCGUUGGAAGACUGCAUAAACUCCUCGACACCGACGCAAACUGAAAAAAGCCAGGAUGAAGAUAGAGAGGCACUCUGGCUGUAUUGCUUCGUGGCUGCUGGGUUCAUCUUUGGGUUCUGGCUGUACUGGGGCAUCUUCUUAUUUCGCAGCGAGACAUGGAGGUGUGCAUUCUAUCAGUAUGUGGACAACAUGCAAGCAAAGGCAACCAAGAAGAUGUACAGCUGCAUGUCGUGCUUCCAGGCCAGCGGCUCUGAAUGA